rnacentral:pre_miRNA from 1 species
AGGGGCUUGAUCCAAAGCCCAUUAAAGUCAAUGGAAGGACUUUCAUUGACUUCAGUGGGCUUUGGGUCAGGCUCUAUCU